GUCUAUGGCCAUACCACCCUUAACAUGCCAGAUAGCAUCUUAUCUCAGAAGCUAAGCAGUGUCAGACCUAAUUAGUGCUUGGAUGAGAGACUGCCUGGGAAUACCAGGCACUGUUCGUU
rnacentral:rRNA from 1 species